AUGAAAGCUCUAUUCUGGAAUAUUCGUGGUUUCGGUGCUAGGGGGCGCCGUGACCAGAUUCAUGACUUGGUUUGUGGUGAACAUAUUGACAUUUUAGGGCUGGUCAAAACGUUCAAGGAAUCCUUUUCCCCUUCUGAACUAUCUGCGAUAGCUGGGAUGGAUAGGUUUGAUUGGCACCUUCUCCCCGCCUCGGGCCACUCUGGGGGAAUCUUGAUUGGGUCCAAGCGGGACGUUUUUUAUUUCAUUACUUUUGAUCAUGGCAUCUUUUGGGCUAGCUGUGUGGUUCAUCAUCGUCAGCUCAACACGCUGUGGGAAUUUAUGGUGGUAUAUGGCCCUGCGGAUCACACGCUUGCUCCUCUCUUUUUGGACGAACUAUCGACUAAGAUUGAAACUUGUUCUAUUCCUCUUCUAAUUGGGGGCAAUUUCAAUUUGUUA
rnacentral:rRNA from 1 species